rnacentral:rRNA from 1 species
AGAGUUUGAUCCUGGCUCAGGAUGAACGCUAGCGACAGGCUUAACACAUGCAAGUCGAGGGGCAUCAUGAGGUAGCAAUACCUUGAUGGCGACCGGCGCACGGGUGAGUAACGCGUAUGCAACCUGCCUGAUACUCGGGGUAUAGCCCAUGGAAACGUGGAUUAACACCCCAUAGUACUUUUAUCCUGCAUGGGAUGUGAGUUAAAUGUUCAAGGUAUCGGAUGGGCAUGCGUCCUAUUAGUUAGUUGGCGGGGUAACAGCCCACCAAGACGAUGAUAGGUAGGGGUUCUGAGAGGAAGGUCCCCCACAUUGGAACUGAGACACGGUCCAAACUCCUACGGGAGGCAGCAGUGAGGAAUAUUGGUCAAUGGACGAGAGUCUGAACCAGCCAAGUCGCGUGAGGGAAGACUGCCCUAUGGGUUGUAAACCUCUUUUAUAAGGGAAGAAUAAGUUCUACGUGUAGAAUGAUGCCUGUACCUUAUGAAUAAGCAUCGGCUAACUCCGUGCCAGCAGCCGCGGUAAUACGGAGGAUGCGAGCGUUAUCCGGAUUUAUUGGGUUUAAAGGGUGCGUAGGCGGUUUAUUAAGUUAGUGGUUAAAUAUUUGAGCUAAACUCAAUUGUGCCAUUAAUACUGGUAAACUGGAGUACAGACGAGGUAGGCGGAAUAAGUUAAGUAGCGGUGAAAUGCAUAGAUAUAACUUAGAACUCCGAUAGCGAAGGCAGCUUACCAGACUGUAACUGACGCUGAUGCACGAGAGCGUGGGUAGCGAACAGGAUUAGAUACCCUGGUAGUCCACGCCGUAAACGAUGCUCACUGGUUCUGUGCGAUAUAUUGUACGGGAUUAAGCGAAAGUAUUAAGUGAGCCACCUGGGGAGUACGUCGGCAACGAUGAAACUCAAAGGAAUUGACGGGGGCCCGCACAAGCGGAGGAACAUGUGGUUUAAUUCGAUGAUACGCGAGGAACCUUACCUGGGUUUAAAUGGGAAAUGUCGUAUUUGGAAACAGAUAUUCUCUUCGGAGCGUUUUUCAAGGUGCUGCAUGGUUGUCGUCAGCUCGUGCCGUG